AUUGAACGCUGGCGGCAGGCCUAACACAUGCAAGUCGAGCGGAUGACGGGAGCUUGCUCCUUGAUUCAGCGGCGGACGGGUGAGUAAUGCCUAGGACUCUGCCUGGUAGUGGGGGACAACGUUUCGAAAGGAACGCUAAUACCGCAUACGUCCUACGGGAGAAAGAAGGGGACCUUCGGGCCUUGCGCUAUCAGAUGAGCCUAGGUCGGAUUAGCUAGUUGGUGGGGUAAUGGCUCACCAAGGCGACGAUCCGUAACUGGUCUGAGAGGAUGAUCAGUCACACUGGAACUGAGACUCGGUCCAGAAUCCUACGGGGGGCAGCAGUGGGGAAUAUUGGACAAUGGGCGAAAGCCUGAUCCAGCCAGGCCGCGUGUGUGAAGAAGGUCUUCGGAUUGUAAAGCACAUUAAGUUGGGAGGAAGGGCAGUAAGUUAAUACCUUGCUGUUUUGACGUUACCGACAGAAUAAGCACCGGCUAACUCUGUGCUAGCCGCCGCGGUAA
rnacentral:rRNA from 1 species